rnacentral:rRNA from 1 species
GAUGAACGCUAGCGGGAGGCCUAACACAUGCGAGCCGAGCGGGAUUUGUUGGUUAGCUUGCUAACUAACAAUGAGAGCGGCGUACGGGUGCGUAGCACGUGUGCAACCUGCCUUUAUCUGGGGGAUAGCCUUUCGAAAGGAAGAUUAAUACCCCAUAACAUAUUGAUUGUCAUCAGUUAAUAUUGUAAGCUCCGGCGGAUAGAGAUGGGCACGUGUAAGAUUAGCUAGUUGGUGAGGUAACGGCUCACCAAGGAUGCGCUCUUUAUGGGGCCUGAGAGGGUGCUCCCCCGCACUUGUACUGAGACACGGACCAGACUCCGACGCGGGGCAGCAGUGAGGAAUAUUGGACGUUGGGUGAGAGCCUGAUCCAGCCAUGCCGCGUGAAGAGCUAAGGACCUAUGGUUUGUAAACUUCUGGUAGACAGGGAUAAACCUACUCUCGUGAGAGUAGCUGAAGGUACUGUAUGAAUAAGCACCGGCUAACUCCGUG